CCUACGGGAGGCACCAGUGGGGGAUAUUGCACAAUGGGCGCAAGCCUGAUGCAGCCAUGCCGCGUGUGCGAAGAAGGCCUUCGGGUUGUAAAGCACUUUCAGCGGGGAGGAAGGCGAUAAGGUUAAUAACCUUGUCGAUUGACGUUACCCGCAGAAGAAGCACCGGCUAACUCCGUGCCAGCAGCCGCGGUAAUACGGAGGGUGCAGGCGUUAAUCGGAAUUAUUGGGCGUAAAGCGCACGCAGGCGGUCUGUCAAGUCGGAUGUGAAAUCCCCGGGCUCAACCUGGGAACUGCAUUCGAAACUGGCAGGCUAGAGUCUUGUAGAGGGGGGUAGAAUUCCAGGUGUAGCGGUGAAAUGCGUAGAGAUCUGGAGGAAUACCGGUGGCGAAGGCGGCCCCCUGGGCAAAGACUGACGCUCAGGUGCGAAAGCGUGGGGAGCAAACAGGAUUAGAUACCCUCGUAGUC
rnacentral:rRNA from 1 species